rnacentral:misc_RNA from 1 species
GAUGAAGAACGCAGCGAAAUGCGAUACGUAAUGUGAAUUGCAGAAUUCAGUGAAUCAUCGAGUCUUUGAACGCACAUUGCGCCCCCUGGUAUUCCGGGGGGCAUGCCUGUCCGAGCGUCAUUGCUGCCCUCAAGCACGGCUUGUGUGUUGGGCCUCCGUCCUCCUCCCGGGGGACGGGCCCGAAAGGCAGCGGCGGCACCGCGUCCGGUCCUCGAGCGUAUGGGGCUUCGUCACCCGCUCUUGUAGGUCCGGCCGGCGCUUGCCGACACAUCAAUCUUUUUUCCAGGUUGACCUCGGAUCAGGUAGGGAUACCCGCUGAAUUUAAGCAUAUCAAUAAGCGGAGGA